UUUUCGUAAUGUAGUGGUUAUCACGUUUGCUUUACGCGCGACAGGUCUCCGGUUCGAAGCCGGACGGAACCUAA